UACGAAGGGGGCUAGCGUUGCUCGGAAUCACUGGGCGUAAAGCGCACGUAGGCGGCUUCUUAAGUCAGGGGUGAAAUCCUGGAGCUCAACUCCAGAACUGCCUUUGAUACUGAGGAGCUUGAGUCCGGGAGAGGUGAGUGGAACUGCGAGUGUAGAGGUGAAAUUCGUAGAUAUUCGCAAGAACACCAGUGGCGAAGGCGGGCUCACUGGCCCGAUACUGACGCUGAGGCACGAAAGCGUGGGGAGCAAAGC
rnacentral:rRNA from 1 species